UACGGGAGGCAGCAGUGGGGAAUAUUGCGCAAUGGGCGAAAGCCUGACGCAGCGACGCCGCGUGAGGGAUGAAGGUUUUCGGAUCGUAAACCUCUGUCAGAAGGGAAGAAACUACGUUGUGCUAAUCAGCAGCGUACUGACGGUACUCAAAGAGACCCAUCGGAC
rnacentral:rRNA from 1 species